UCUACAUAUCAAUAAGCGGAGGAAAAGAAACUAACAAGGGAUUCCCCUAGUAACUGCGAGUGAAGCGGGAAAAGCUCAAAUUUAAAAUCUGGUGGCCUUUGGUCGCUCGAGUUGUAAUUUAGAGAAGCGUCUUCCGCGCUGGACCGUGCACAAGUCUCCUGGAAUGGAGCGUCAUAGAGGGUGAGAAUCCCGUCUUUGGCACGGAUGCACCAGGGCUUUCGUGAUGCGCUCUCAAAGAGUCGAGUUGUUUGGGAAUGCAGCUCAAAAUGGGUGGUGAACUCCAUCUAAAGCUAAAUAUUGGCGAGAGACCGAUAGCGAACAAGUACCGUGAGGGAAAGAUGAAAAGCACUUUGGAAAGAGAGUGAAACAGUACGUGAAAUUGUUGAAAGGGAAACACUUAAAGUCAGUCGCGUCGACCGAGACUCAGCCUUGCUUUGGCUUGGUGUUCUUCUCGGCCGACGGGUCAGCAUCAAUUUUGCCCCUCGGAUAAUGGCAAGAGAAAGGUAGCACCUUUACGGGUGUGUUAUAGUCUCCUGUCGCAUGCGAGGGUCAGGAUUGAGGAACUCAGCACGCGCCUCUUGGUGUCGGGGCUUCGGCCCACGCUACGUGCUUAGGAUGCUGGCGUAAUGGCUUUAAAUGACCCGUCUUGAAACACGGACCAAGGAGUCUAACAUGCCCGCGAGUGUUCGGGUGGAAAACCCGUGCGCGUAAUGAAAGUGAAAGUUGGGACCCCUGUCGUGGGGGGCACCGACGCCCGGACCAGACCUUCUGUGACGGAUCUGCGGUAGAGCGUGCAUGUUGGGACCCGAAAGAUGGUGAACUAUGCCUGAAUAGGGUGAAGCCAGAGGAAACUCUGGUGGAGGCUCGUAGCGAUUCUGACGUGCAAAUCGAUCGUCAAAUUUGGGUAUAGGGGGAAAGACUAAUCGAACCAUCUAGUAGCUGG
rnacentral:rRNA from 1 species